GCGCUUUCUGUCUCGUUGGUGACCAGCGGAGGGAUCAUUACCGAGUUUACAACUCCCAAACCCAAUGUGAACCAUACCAAACUGUUGCCUCGGCGGGGUCACGCCCCGGGUGCGUCGCAGCCCCGGAACCAGGCGCCCGCCGGAGGGACCAACCAAACUCUUUUCUGUAGUCCCCUCGCGGACGUUAUUUCUUACAGCUCUGAGCAAAAAUUCAAAAUGAAUCAAAACUUUCAACAACGGAUCUCUUGGUUCUGGCAUCGAUGAAGAACGCAGCGAAAUGCGAUAAGUAAUGUGAAUUGCAGAAUUCAGUGAAUCAUCGAAUCUUUGAACGCACAUUGCGCCCGCCAGUAUUCUGGCGGGCAUGCCUGUCCGAGCGUCAUUUCAACCCUCGAACCCCUCCGGGGGGUCGGCGUUGGGGACCUCGGGAGCCCCUAAGACGGGAUCCCGGCCCCGAAAUACAGUGGCGGUCUCGCCGCAGCCUCUCCUGCGCAGUAGUUUGCACAACUCGCACCGGGAGCGCGGCGCGUCCACGUCCGUAAAACACCCAACUUUCUGAAAUGUUGACCUCGGAUCAGGUAGGAAUACCCGCUGAACUUAAGCAUAUCAAUAGCCCGGAGGAA
rnacentral:rRNA from 1 species